rnacentral:rRNA from 1 species
GUAAACGAUGAACACUCGCUGUUUGCGAUACACAGUAAGCGGCCAAGCGAAAGCGUUAAGUGUUCCACCUGGGGAGUACGCCGGCAACGGUGAAACUCAAAGGAAUUGACGGGGGCCCGCACAAGCGGAGGAACAUGUGGCUUAAUUCGAUGAUACGCGAGGAACCUUACCCGGGCUUGAAUUGCACUCGAAUGCAGUUGAAAGAUUGCAGCCGCAAGGCGAGUGUGAAGGUGCUGCAUGGUUGUCGUCAGCUCGUGCCGUGAGGUGUCGGCUUAAGUGCCAUAACGAGCGCAACCCUUAUCUUCAGUUACCAUCGGGUAAUGCCGGGGACUCUGAAGAGACUGCCGUCGUAAGAUGUGAGGAAGGUGGGGAUGACGUCAAAUCAGCACGGCCCUUACGUCCGGGGCUACACACGUGUUACAAUGGGUGUUACAGAGGGCAGCUCCACGGCGACGUGUUGCUAAUCCCUAAAACCACUCUCAGUUCGGAU